rnacentral:rRNA from 1 species
CAGCAGCAGCCACGGUAAUACGAAGGGGGCUAGCGUUGCUCGGAAUGACUGGGCGUAAAGGGCGCGUAGGCGGCGAUCAAAGUCAGGCGUGAAAUUCCUGGGCUCAACCUGGGGGCUGCGCUUGAUACUUGGUUGCUUGAGUGGGGAAGAGGGUCGUGGAAUUCCCAGUGUAGAGGUGAAAUUCGUAGAUAUUGGGAAGAACACCGGUGGCGAAGGCGGCGACCUGGUCCUUGACUGACGCUGAGGCGCGAAAGCGUGGGGAGCAGACAGGAUUAGAUACCCCCGUAGUCCCUGUCUCUUAUAC